rnacentral:rRNA from 1 species
UACGGAGGGGGCUAGCGUUGUUCGGAAUUACUGGGCGUAAAGCGUGCGUAGUCGGUAUUGAGAGUCGCGGGUGAAAUCCCAGGGCUUAACCCUGGAACUGCCUGCGAGACCUCAGUACUAGAGUGUGAGAGGGGAUAGUGGAAUACCAAGUGUAGCGGUGAAAUGCGUAGAGAUUUGGUGGAACACCGGUGGCGAAGGCGGCUAUCUGGCUCACAAACUGACGAUCAGGCACGAAAGCGUGGGGAGCAAACAGG